rnacentral:lncRNA from 1 species
UCUUACCUAGUGCGACGAGCAGUACCUCGUUCAAGAUAAAUGACGCUGUUACUAACGACCCCAUCGUAAUUUCGAAUGCUUUUAACUCUUACUUCCAAUCUGUUUUCACUGUCGAUAACCAUGUAGUCCCAAAGUUUAAUUAUGACACACAAUCCAAUAAACUAAGUGAUAUCGUAAUAAAUUCUGAUGGUGUCUUAAACCUGAUCUUGAGUCUCGACACUAAAGAGUGUACCGGUUCAGAUGGUAUCCCGAAUUCUUUCCUUGUUAGAUACUCCCUAUGGACAGCUCAGUACCUGAGCGUAAUCUUCCAAAAAUCCUUAGACUCCGGUGAAGUACCAACUAAAUGGAAAAUAGCCAAAGUCCUGCCUUUGUAUAAAUCAGUUGUAAUUAUAUAAAAC